rnacentral:rRNA from 1 species
UAAUCUACCUUUGGAUGGGGAAUAACAGUCGGAAACGGCUGCUAAUACCGCAUAAUGCAGCGGCACCUAAUGGUGACAGUUGUUAAAGCGGGGGAUCGAAAGACCUCGCGUCUGAAGAGGAGCCUGCGGCGGAUUAGCUAGUUGGUAAGGUAAUGGCUUACCAAGGCUACGAUCCGUAACCGGCCUGAGAGGGCGGUCGGUCACACUGACACUGACAUACGGGUCAG